UAAAAAAAAGUUGAAGGUACUUAAUGUCCAGCAAAAUCAUCUGCCCCAUGGUAAAUGCCUGUCAACAAGAAGACGUGUAUCUACUCUGAAAGCAGAGUUCAGAGUAUAUAUAUGUAACUGCAACUCAUAUUUUGUCCUUCUGACAAUACGUUGACCUAGAACUUUCACAUUGUCAUCUUUUUCUGCUUUCUUUUUCACUCAAUUUUCUUCUUUGCUUUAAGGACAGAAAAUCCCUCACGCAGUGUGGUCCAGGUUAUACUGAACCGUGGAUGUCUCAUGCAGAGCAGUAUCUUAUUCUGCUCAUGACUUACUCAUGUUGCAAAAGCAGGUCCCCAUGCUUAUAUAACAGCACUCAAGAGGAAACUACUAACAAGCCCAUCUGAUGGUUCGUGCCAGCUCUUUUAGUGGAGGCAUGCUGGAUGCAACUGAGCUCCACCUUCUUUGUCAAGCAAAACCUUUGGAAAAUGUCACAGCCUGAAGAAUAUUGAACAUUCAAAAUCUGGCUCCAAAUUUCCUCAUGAACCAAUCUGCUGCUCUGCACCUGUAGAAGGGGACAGGUGGGUUGCUGCAAAGUAGUCUGCAAACCCCUCCUCAGUGAGCCCCACUGUUAGCCAGUCUCUUGACUCUGCAUGAGGCAGUGACUCCUGCUGAGUUCCUUGUUUCUCCAUGAUGUUCUUGUUGAAAGAGGUGAAAUAUCCAGAAAAAAAUUAGAUUCUGUGUGAAAAAAAAGAAGAAGCUGACCAAUAAGCUGCCUAGAAAGCAUCCAGCCUGGAUCUCAGCUGCAAACUGAUGGGGCUUCGUAGGAAGAUCCUGAAGAAGAUAUAGAAGUCCUUUGGUGAGUGUAUACUGAAUUUGUGUUAUAUAAUGAUUUGAAUUUUAUCUGUAACUAUUGCUAAAGAUUCUGAAGUAAAUUAAAAAAACAACAUGUAAG